CCGCCUGUAGGGAAGCGUCCAUUUCGCCUGUUUUGGGAACAGGAAGUCCCGAGUUCGAGUCUCGGCUGGCGGA
rnacentral:tRNA from 1 species